AACGUAGGAGACAAACGUUAUCCGGAGUUACUGGGCGUAAAGGGCGUGUAGGUGGUUGCGUAAGUCUGGCGUGAAAUUUUUCGGCUUAACCGGGAAAGGUCGUCGGAUACUGCGGAGCUAGAGGACGGUAGAGGCGUGUGGAAUUCCGGGUGUAGUGGUGAAAUGCGUAGAGAUCCGGAGGAACACCAGUGGCGAAGGCGACACGCUGGGCCGUACCUGACACUGAUGCGCGACAGCAGUGGGGAGCAAACGAGG
rnacentral:rRNA from 1 species